UGGGGAAUCUUGCACAAUGGGCGAAAGCCUGAUGCAGCGACGCCGCGUGCGGGAUGAAGGCCUUCGGGUUGUAAACCGCUUUCAGCAGGGACGAGGCGAAAGUGACGGUACCUGCAGAAGAAGCCCCGGCUAACUACGUGCCAGCAGCCGCGGUAAUACGUAGGUCCCGAGCGUUGUCCGGAUUUAUUGGGCGUAAAGCGAGCGCAGGCGGUUAGAUAAGUCUGAAGUUAAAGGCUGUGGCUUAACCAUAGUACGCUUUGGAAACUGUUUAACUUGAGUGCAAGAGGGGAGAGUGGAAUUCCAUGUGUAGCGGUGAAAUGCGUAGAUAUAUGGAGGAACACCGGUGGCGAAAGCGGCUCUCUGGUCUGUAACUGACGCUGGGGCUCGAAAGCGUGGGGAGCGAACAGGAUUAGAUACCCUGGUAGUCCACGCCGUAAACGAUGAGUGCUAGGUGUUAGGUCCUUUCCGGGACUUAGUGCCGCAGCUAACGCAUUAAGCACUCCGCCUGGGGAGUACGACCGCAAGGUUG
rnacentral:rRNA from 1 species